AUUAGAGGAAGUAAAAGUCGUAACAAGGUCUCCGUUGGUGAACCAGCGGAGGGAUCAUUACCGAGUUUACAACUCCCAAACCCAAUGUGAACGUUACCAAACUGUUGCCUCGGCGGGGUCACGCCCCGGGUGCGUCGCAGCCCCGGAACCAGGCGCCCGCCGGAGGAACCAACCAAACUCUUUCUGUAGUCCCCUCGCGGACGUAUUUCUUACAGCUCUGAGCAAAAAUUCAAAAUGAAUCAAAACUUUCAACAACGGAUCUCUUGGUUCUGGCAUCGAUGAAGAACGCAGCGAAAUGCGAUAAGUAAUGUGAAUUGCAGAAUUCAGUGAAUCAUCGAAUCUUUGAACGCACAUUGCGCCCGCCAGUAUUCUGGCGGGCAUGCCUGUCCGAGCGUCAUUUCAACCCUCGAACCCCUCCGGGGGAUCGGCGUUGGGGAUCGGGACCCCUCACACGGGUGCCGGCCCCUAAAUACAGUGGCGGUCUCGCCGCAGCCUCUCCUGCGCAGUAGUUUGCACAACUCGCACCGGGAGCGCGGCGCGCCCACGUCCGUAAAACACCCAACUUUCUGAAAUGUUGACCUCGGAUCAGGUAGGAAUACCCGCUGAACUUAAGCAUAUCAA
rnacentral:rRNA from 1 species